rnacentral:tRNA from 1 species
UCCCUGGUGGCUCAGAGGGUAAAGCAUCUGCCUGCAAUGCAGGAGCCCCGGGUUCAAUUCCUGGAUUGGGAA